rnacentral:rRNA from 1 species
GACGAACGCUGGCGGCGUGCUUAACACAUGCAAGUCGAACGGAAAGGCCUCUUUCGGGGGGUACUCGAGUGGCGAACGGGUGAGUAACACGUGAGUAACCUGCCCUUGACUUUGGGAUAACUUCAGGAAACUGGGGCUAAUACCGGAUAGGAGCUCCUGCUGCAUGGUGGGGGUUGGAAAGUUUCGGCGGUUGGGGAUGGACUCGCGGCUUAUCAGCUUGUUGGUGGGGUAGUGGCUUACCAAGGCUUUGACGGGUAGCCGGCCUGAGAGGGUGGCCGGCCAGGAUGGGAAUGAGAUACAACCGGGACGCACGCGUGAUGCAGCAGUGGGGAGUGUGGCAGAACGGGCGGAGGCCUGAUGACCCGUCGCGGUGUGCGGGAUGAUGGGGUUGAGGUUGGAAACUAAGUACGCCCAUGACGAAGAGUUGCGAGACGGUGGUGGGUAAAAAGGAAAAGCACACCUCGACA